UACAGAGGGGGCAAGCGUUGUUCGGAAUUACUGGGCGUAAAGGGCGCGUAGGCGGCCUGCUAAGUCACACGUGAAAUCCCUCGGCUCAACCGGGGAACUGCGUGUGAUACUGGCGGGCUUGAAUUCGGGAGAGGGAUGUGGAAUUCCAGGUGUAGCGGUGAAAUGCGUAGAUAUCUGGAGGAACACCGGUGGCGAAGGCGGCAUCCUGGACCGAGAUUGACGCUGAGGCGCGAAAGCUAAGGGGAGCAAACGGGG
rnacentral:rRNA from 1 species